rnacentral:lncRNA from 1 species
GGUAGAGAUGUGUGUGUGUGAUCAGUAACAGCAUUCUCACUGAGGCAGAGAUGUGUGUGUGCGAUCAGUAACAGCAUUCUCACUGAGGUAGAGAUGUGUGUUCAGUCAGUAACAGCAUUGUCACUGAGGUAGAGGUGUGUGUUCAGUCAGUAACAGCAUUCUCACUGAGGUAGAGAUGUGUGUGUGAUCAGUAACAGCAUUCUAACUGAGGCGGAGAUGUG